UACGGAGGGGGCUAGCGUUGUUCGGAAUUACUGGGCGUAAAGCGCACGUAGGCGGCUUUGCAAGUCAGAGGUGAAAGCCCGGGGCUCAACCCCGGAAUUGCCUUUGAGACUGCAUCGCUAGAAUUGUGGAGAGGUAAGUGGAAUUCCGAGUGUAGAGGUGAAAUUCGUAGAUAUCGGAAGGAACACCAGUGGCGAAGGCGGCUACCUGGACUUACACUGACACUGAGGCGCGAAAGCGUGGGUAGCAAACAGG
rnacentral:rRNA from 1 species